UUGGCUCGAUCGUAUUCUUUACGUGAACGACACGAAACAUGGUGUCAGAAGUGCGCCGCCACCCGUGAUGGAAUUCUUAAAGCCUCCUGAACUGUUGCGCCUGAGUGGCGACAUUGCCAAACAAUGGAAGCUUUUUAAGCAAAAAUUCGAGCUUUUCCUAGCAGCCUCGGUGCCAAGAGACAAGCCUCGGAAUGAUAGCACGAAGACUGCCCUACUGCUCAGUUUGGGAGGUGAAGAUGUGUUGCAAAUCUACAACAACUUCAUUUUCACUGAAGACGCCGAAAGAAUGGACUAUGCGACCGUCAUCAAGAAAUGCGAUGAGUACUGCGCAGCGCAGGUGAAUGAAAUACAUGAGCGGUACCUAUUUCGACGACGAGUCCAAGCAGAAGGUGAGCCCUUUGAACCAUUCGCGAGGGACCUGAGGCACCUGGCGAAAUCGUGCAACUUCGGCGUAAUGGAAAAUUCAAUGAUCUGUGACCAAAUUGUAUUUGGAACGAGCGACGACAGAGUGCGCCAGAAGCUGCUAAGAGACAAGGAAUUGACACUGACGAAAGCUGAGCAGGUGUGCAAAUCCGCCGAGUUGUCAGAUGCACAAAAUCAACUUUGGGCACGCGAACAGCGCCAAGUUGACCGUAUCCAAGCAAGGCCAAAUGAAACUGUUGCAUCCCCAGUAUUUAAAUGCAGUAGGUGUGGUCGGGAGCACGGCGUGAGGAAUUGUCCGGCGUUUGGACGCACCUGUAGACAAUGCGGAGGCAAGAACCAUUUUGCUGUGCAAUGCAAGAGCAACAGGCAAGUUGCAGAAGUCAAUGCUGACGAAGACUUCAGAUUCUCGACGUAUCGGUAGAUACUGUCAAAAGCCAUCGUGACUGGGUAGCAGAAGCACUAGUCGGCAGCAAGCACAUCAACUUGAAAGUGGACACCGGCGCGCAAGCGAACCUUCUGCCGUAUGGUAUGUGCCGCACAUUACAGCCCGCGGCACAAAUAAGAGAAAGUAAUGCAGUGCUACGCUCCUAUGGGGGAGGAAUCAUCAAGCACUUCGGGGUAGCCAGAUUGAAGGUCACAGUUGGCAAGACGGCGACUGAAGUCCCCUUCUUCCUUGUAAAGAAGGGGCGCGCGAUUAUUGGUCUCGAAGCAAGCGAGCGCCUAGGGCUCUUCGUUAGGUCGGUUGAUGCAAUGACGAGAAAGGGAACUACAGAGUUCAUGCAGGAAUACAACGACGUCUUCACCGGCACCGGAUGCCUUCAGCGGAUGCACAAAAUGGUGUUGCGACAAGACGCCGUACCGACGGUCCAGAUGGCUAGACGAGUACCCCUGGCGCUGCUGAAACCACUGCGGGCUGAACUCGACCGGAUGCUCGAGGCAGGCAUCAUUGCCAAGGUGGAAGAGCCAACAGACUGGGAAAGCAGUUCGUGCUGCCAGACCUGCUGUCGCGUGCCUCUGUAGGAAAACCGAAAAAGGAUGAAGCAGAAGAAGACAUCGAGAUUCACGCCGUAGGUGUUGUAUCGUCACUUGUAAGCGAUGCCACGUUAGGGCGCCUAUCAAAAGAAACGCGAAAUGACAGCUACUUGCAUAGUGUCGUCACGUGCCUUCAGAAGAACCAACCUGUGCAGGGACGGCUUAAGCAUUUCGAAAGUGAACCGUCAGCCGUAAGCGGGGUGCUACUAAAAGGGUGCAAGGUCGUGGUGCCAACCAGCAUGCGCCAAGAAAUGUUAAGAAGAAUCUAUGAAGGCCACAUGGGACUAAAUAAGUGCAAAGAACGUGCGCGUCGUUUGGUUUUCUGGCCCGGUAUGAACACUGAUGUCGAAAAUGUGAUAAAAAAAUGCUCAGUAUGCCAGAAGUACGCUUACAAGCAACACAGCGAACCCCUUCUUAUCCGCCCAGUGCCUGCGCAUGCCUGGUGUAGGAUUGGUGUUGACAUCUUCCAGUACGCUGGAAAAUCGUAUCUUUGUGCGUAUGAUGUGUUGUCUAAUUUUCCCGAGGUUGAGCAGUUGCAGGACACGUCAGCAGCCGGUGUAAUUGAUAAACUAAGCGCAAUAUUUGCUAGACACGGCAUACCAAAAGAAGUUUGCACUGACAACGGACCGCAAUUCUCCAGCCGCGAGUUUCUGCUCUUUUCAGAAAGAUACGAUUUCAAGCAUGUCACUUCAAGCCCGUGGUUUCCACGCUCAAAUGGCUUGGCCGAGAAAGGGGUUCAGGUGGUAAAAAGAAUCCUUAAAAAGACAACCGAAGGAA